ACGCUCGACACCUACGGGAGGCAGCAGUAGGGAAUUUUCGGCAAUGGGGGGAACCCUGACCGAGCAACGCCGCGUGAAGGAAGAAGGAAUUCGUUCUGUAAACUUCUGUUAUAAAGGAAGAACGGCGGAUAUAGGGAAUGAUAUCCGAGUGACGGUACUUUAUGAGAAAGCCACGGCUAACUACGUGCAAGAGCCGCGGUAAUCUGAGCGGGCUGGCAAGGC
rnacentral:rRNA from 1 species